AGGGUGAACGCUGGCGGCGUGCUUAAGACAUGCAAGUCGAACGGCAGUCUUCGGACUGUAGUGGCGCACGGGUGAGUAAUGCGUAACUGACCUACCCCGAAGUCCGGGAUAACUGGGCGAAAGUUCAGCUAAUACCGGAUGUCCAGAUGACUUUUGAGUCAUCUGGAAAGAUUUAUUGCUUUGGGAUGGGGUUACGUUCCAUCAGCUGGUUGGUGGGGUAAAGGCCUACCAAGGCGACGACGGAUAGCCGGCCUGAGAGGGUGGCCGGCCACAGGGGCACUGAGACACGGGUCCCACUCCUACGGGAGGCAGCAGUUAGGAAUCUUCCACAAUGGGCGCAAGCCUGAUGGAGCGACGCCGCGUGAGGGAUGAAGGUUUUCGGAUCGUAAACCUCUGAAUCUGGGACGAAAGGGCCGCAAGGCAGAUGACGGUACCAGAGUAAUAGCACCGGCUAACUCCGUGCCAGCAGCCGCGGUAAUGCGGAGGGUGCAAGCGUUACCCGGAAUCACUGGGCGUAAAGGGCGUGUAGGCGGUUGUUUAAGUCUGGUUUUAAAGACUGGGGCUCAACCCCAGGAGUGGACUGGAGACUGGACGACUAGACGGUUGGAGAGGUCGCUGGAAUUCCUGGUGUAGCGGUGGAAUGCGUAGAUACCAGGAGGAACACCAAUGGCGAAGGCAA
rnacentral:rRNA from 1 species